UGAACAAUAUAUCUAACUUGAAUUAUUAAUAUAUAAUUAAGAAAGAGAGAGGAUCGAUCAUAGGGAUGAAUAUGGGAUGAUCGAACGAUAAUUAAUUGAUAAGCAAUAAUAAUGGAAAAAUGUUAAAGAAUAAAUGUAGCAAUCCCUGGUUGAAGUACUUACUCUUCGCAAUUUUUUUUAAUCAAUAACGUUUUUAUUUCAGUUCAAAAAUGUUAUCUUCCUGGAAGAGAUAUUAAUUGUAGCACGUGAUUUCACAUAGAUUUUCUGAUGCUAAUGAAAUAAAAAGGGAGUAAUAUUGUACAAAGUCAAUUAGGUUUUGCUAUUUCAUCUUUAACCAUAAAAAUACAUUUUUCCCCUGAUGAGGUUAAGUGAUUGAGCCUUGUUCUACUCCAGGUAUUGGGGAAAACUCAUUGUCACGACGUUUAUAGCUAUAAAUUGGAGCGUGUGGUGUUAUUCAACUUUCAAGGAAUACUUCGGGUAUAAACAUGGCUCAAACUGGAGGUGCAUCCUGCUUUGAUAGAAUCAAGAUUGGAUUUAUGAUGGGUAUGUGCAUAGGGAUGGCAUCUGGGGGACUCUUUGGUGGAUUCAAUGCUUUUCGUUACGGUCUAAGAGGGAAGGAGUUAAUAGGACAAGUUGGUAAAAUUAUGGUUCAAGGGGGAGGAACCUUUGGAACUUUUAUGUCGAUUGGUACAGCUAUCCGAUGCUAAAUCACGUGCCCUCAACUCACGCAUACAUAGAAGAAGGAAAUUAUUCAUUCUGAUAUUUUUUUUAUAGAACCCAUAGCAUAGUCGUCUCAUUUUUCCUUUUUUGAGCGUAUUUAUUGCCAGCUCUUUUUUACUUUAUGACUAAUGUUAGCAUAAUUUCGGUUUUUGUUAUUGACGGAUAUUAGUAAUCAUAUCAUUGAACAUAUAAUUGAUGUUGAGUUAGUCAUGAAUAAUUAUCAAACUUUAAAAAAUGCAAAA
rnacentral:lncRNA from 1 species